AUUGAACGCUGGCGGCAGGCUUAACACAUGCAAGUCGAGCGGGGGAAGGUAGCUUGCUACUGGACCUAGCGGCGGACGGGUGAGUAAUGCUUAGGAAUCUGCCUAUUAGUGGGGGACAACAUCUCGAAAGGGAUGCUAAUACCGCAUACGUCCUACGGGAGAAAGCAGGGGAUCUUCGGACCUUGCGCUAUUAGAUGAGCCUAAGUCGGAUUAGCUAGUUGGUAGGGUAAAGGCCUACCAAGGCGACGAUCUGUAGCGGGUCUGAGAGGAUGAUCCGCCACACUGGGACUGAGACACGGCCCAGACUCCUACGGGAGGCAGCAGUGGGGAAUAUUGGACAAUGGGGGGAACCCUGAUCCAGCCAUGCCGCGUGUGUGAAGAAGGCCUUAUGGUUGUAAAGCACUUUAAGCGAGGAGGAGGCUACUCUAGUUAAUACCUAGGGAUAGUGGACGUUACUCGCAGAAUAAGCACCGGCUAACUCUGUGCCAGCCGCCGCGGUAA
rnacentral:rRNA from 1 species